GGAUUUUCCAAUUACUCCUCCUAAUGGUAGGAAGCGAAGAAACAGAUCUACCAAAGAGCCCUGAAAGCAGCAAGCAAUUUUGGCUACCAAAAGAAGAGUCCCGAGUAAGCGCCCUAUCAUGUCUAUAUGAGUUGUGAUCCAAGCGACCCAUAUCAAGCAGUUGGGGAACGAGUGUCCGUCUGAGAAUUCUAACGGCGUUGGUGCAUGCAGCUGUCAUCUCUGCUUUUCUAACCAUUGCUCAAGCCAUGUCUGAUCAAGGAUGCGUAUAGAAGUCAGGGAUAACAUAUUCAUCCACAAGCUUCACUAAAGUUGUAUGAUUUCUGAAGAAGGCACUCCUUGGCUUGAAGAUGAUUGAUCAUUAUCUGCGCCGUGCGGAUCCUUAAUGCCAGGGAAGGUCCAAGAUCUGAACCUCGACAUGUGUAAUAUCAACUGAGACACAAAAAGCUAAUCGGUGAGGGGUUAAUUACAACAUAUUUUAUUGUAAAAAUAUCCGUAGUUCUUGUGGUAGAAUAGAAGGACGCUAGAGCCCGAAGGGGUGUGUGUUCUAUUCUGGACCCAUUAACCAAUCCAGAUGUUGCAGUCUUGUGAAAUAUUAGAAUACUGUGAAUAGAAAUAAAAUCAAUCAUUCAUCGUU